CCUACGGGAGGCAGCAGUUAGGAAUUUUGCGCAAUGGGGGAAACCCUGACGCAGCAACGCCGCGUGAGUGAUGAAGGCCUUCGGGUUGUAAAGCUCUUUUGCCAGGGAAGAAUAAAAUGACGGUACCUGGUGAAUAAGCACCGGCUAACUCUGUGCCAGCAGCCGCGGUAAUACAGAGGGUGCAAGCGUUAUUCGGAAUUAUUGGGCGUAAAGCGCACGUAGGCGGUCUUUCAAGUCUGGUGUGAAAUCCCUGAACUCAAUUCAGGAAGUGCAUUGGAUACUGUUAGACUGGAGAAUGGGAGAGGUGAGCGGAAUUCCUGGUGUAGAGGUGAAAUUCGUAGAUAUCAGGAGGAACAACAGAGGCGAAGGCGGCUCACUGGACCAUUUCUGACGCUGAGGUGCGAAAGCGUGGGGAGCAAACAGGAUUAGAUACCCCGGUA
rnacentral:rRNA from 1 species